rnacentral:rRNA from 1 species
CUAAGUUUGAUGGCGACCGGCGCACGGGUGAGUAACACGUAUCCAACCUGCCGAUGACUCGGGGAUAGCCUUUCGAAAGAAAGAUUAAUACCCGAUGGCAUAGUUCUUCCGCAUGGUAGAACUAUUAAAGAAUUUCGGUCAUCGAUGGGGAUGCGUUCCAUUAGGUUGUUGGCGGGGUAACGGCCCACCAAGCCUCCGAUGGAUAGGGGUUCUGAGAGGAAGGUCCCCCACAUUGGAACUGAGACACGGUCCAAACUCCUACGGGAGGCAGCAUG